rnacentral:rRNA from 1 species
UACCGGCAGUCCAAGUCGCAGCCACGUUUAUUGGGUCUAAAACAUCCGUAGCUUGUUUUAUAAGUCUUUUGUGAAAUCUUGUAUCUUAAGUACAAGGCGAGCAAGAGAUACUAUAAAACUAGAGACUGGGAGACGCAGGAAGUAUAGUUGAGGUAGUGGUAAAAUAUGUUAAUCUCAACCAGACUAACAAUUGGCGAAGGCAUCCUGCGAGAACAGUUCUGACAGUGAGGGAUGAAGGCUAGGGUCGCGAAAUGGAUUAGAUACCCGAGUA